GUGUUAAAUGAAAGGAGAGAAGGUUAGCACACACCUUGACAAGGAUGGAAGAGACUUCGGCCUGCAACACGCAUACCGUUAAGGCACUGCCACCUACUUCGUGGCGUCUAGUCAGUGUUUUUC
rnacentral:ncRNA from 1 species